rnacentral:rRNA from 1 species
GAGUUUGAUUAUGGCUCAGGAUGAACGCUGGCGGCGUGCCUAACACAUGCAAGUCGAGCGCGGUUGUGCUUAGUAUUGAGUGUUUUAUUGAUAUAAAACAUUGAAUUCUAUGCACAACUGAGCGGCGGACGGGUGAGUAACGCGUGGGUAACCUGCCCUAUACACAUGGAUAACAUACUGAAAAGUUUACUAAUACAUGAUAAAAUAGUUUUUCGGCAUCGAAGAAUUAUCAAAGUGUUAGCGGUAUAGGAUGGACCCGCGUCUGAUUAGCUAGUUGGUGAGAUAACUGCCCACCAAGGCGACGAUCAGUAGCCGACCUGAGAGGGUGAUCGGCCACAUUGGAACUGAGACACGGUCCAAACUCCUACGGGAGGCAGCAGUGGGGAAUAUUGCACAAUGGGCGCAAGCCUGAUGCAGCAACGCCGCGUGAACGAUGAAGGUCUUCGGAUCGUAAAGUUCUGUUGCAGGGGAAGAUAAUGACGUACCCU